rnacentral:tRNA from 1 species
UUUAUUUGAGCAAGAUAGUGCAUUAAAUUUAGAAUUUAAUUAAAUAGGGGAGCCUAUAAGUAAAA